GGCCGAGGCCGAACCGUCGGGGCUCCACGCGGCUGACGCUCUUGAGCAGCUUGCCCUCGUGGUGGUGGUGAACGUAGCUGUACGCCGCCUUGCCACCGCCCUCCAUGGUGGCCUCGCCGCCGCCGCCGCAGCGCCGCCCCCUCUCUCUAGACUUCUCUUGGCAGCACGGCACAGUCACCCUCCUCUCUCUCUCUCUCGCUAGCUUAAGCUAUGUGUAUAGCUCAGCUCAUGUGUGAGUGAGUGGCGGUGAAGCCUUAACUCACCGGCCGGAGCAAAGAAGAUCGAGAAGGUUACUGCAUUGAGGCGAGGUGAGAUGGUGUGACUCGUGAGCUGAGGUGAGGUGGUGGGGAGGAGAGGAGGAGGGAGCGUGUGAAGAAGAAGAAGAAGAGAAACGGUAGUGUGCGGCAGCGGCAGCGGCAGCACU
rnacentral:lncRNA from 1 species